rnacentral:rRNA from 1 species
AUACGAAGGGUGCAAGCGUUAAUCGGAAUUACUGGGCGUAAAGCGCGCGUAGGUGGUUUUGUAAGUUGGAGGUGAAAGCCCCGGGCUCCACCUGGGAAUUGCCUCCAAAACUGCAUGACUAGAGUACGGUAGAGGGUAGUGGAAUUUCCUGUGUAGCGGUGAAAUGCGUAGAUAUAGGAAGGAACACCAGUGGCGAAGGCGACUACCUGGACUGAUACUGACACUGAGGGGCGAAAGCGUGGGGAGCAAACAGGAUUAGAUCCCCUGGUAGUCCACGCCGUAAACGAUGUCAACUAGCCGUUGGGAUCCUUGAGAUCUUAGUGGCGCAGCUAACGCAUUAAGUUGACCGCCUGGGGAGUACGGCCGCAAGGUUAAAACUCAAAUGAAUUGACGGGG